CAAAGACCAUGCGGACGGCAAAGCUUCUGAAAGGCACGGUGCUGCUGUCUGCAGCUGCUGUCUCUGUGUGUGUUGCAAAUUAUUUCUCCAAGUCGUAAAAGCAAGCAGAGGAAAAACUGGCUACUUUUUAUUUGACUGAUGUAGCUGGCAAGCAGGAUCAGACAGCCAGGGAAGACCGGUCUACGGAGCUCAGCAGGAUCAGAUGAUGACAGGGGUCUCAGCAGGGUCAGGCAACCAGGGAAGUCCAGUCUGUGACGGCGCUCAUGUGAACUUUAGCAGAUACAACACUUUAUUCUCUCUGUGCAGCAAACACUGGACAAUCCAGAAGCUUCAAAGAUUUAAACUAUUUUAAGGCAGUCUGACAAACUUCAAGUUUGUUUCCAAACUGUAUCAAAGUUUGAUAGAGGCUUUUCCUGAUGACACAAAACAAAAAUGUGAGGGAGACCUGGGAAACACUACUGAUGAUGAUGAAUGGAUACAGAUAUGUUUGAAUAACCUGUCAUGUUCAUAUCAUCUCAGACAUAAACUGCAGUUUAAGACCAUCCAUAGAACAUACUAUAUGCCAGUGAAACUGAAUAUCAAGCACUCAGAAAUAUAAUUUCUCUGCUGGAUGUGUAAAACACCAAAG
ensembl:lncRNA